rnacentral:lncRNA from 1 species
UGAUAUCACUUGUUGCCUAAAGAUAGCAACCUAAGAGAGAGUGUGAAUUGGAUUCUUAUAAAAUUUUAGCAAAACUUAAGCUUUAAGCAAAUAUGUGUUUUAAUUUGACCUAACUUGAGUGAUAGUGAAGUGAAAAUAAUUUAGAAUAGCAUAAUUAAAACAUAUAAGUUAUCAAGCAAGAAAUAAAAUAAAGUUAAGUAAGAAUUAAAAGUAUGUAAGGUAUGUAAAGAGAUAGAACAAGAGGCA